UGGGGAAUUUUGGACAAUGGGGGCAACCCUGAUCCAGCCAUGCCGCGUGUGUGAAGAAGGCCUUCGGGUUGUAAAGCACUUUCGGCCGGAACGAAAUCGCGCGGGUGAAUAUCCCGCGUGGAUGACGGUACCGGAAGAAGAAGCACCGGCUAACUACGUGCCAGCAGCCGCGGUAAUACGUAGGGUGCGAGCGUUAAUCGGAAUUACUGGGCGUAAAGUGUGCGCAGGCGGCCUCGCAAGUCAAGUGUGAAAGCCCCGGGCUUAACCUGGGAACUGCGCUUGAAACUACGAGGCUCGAGUGUGGCAGAGGAAGGUGGAAUUCCACGUGUAGCGGUGAAAUGCGUAGAGAUGUGGAGGAACACCGAUGGCGAAGGCAGCCUUCUGGGCCAACACUGACGCUCAUGCACGAAAGCGUGGGGAGCAAACAGGAUUAGAUACCCCCGUAGUCC
rnacentral:rRNA from 1 species